rnacentral:piRNA from 1 species
UGGAACUGGUUGGUGUUACUGUGUGAGU